UAGCUUGAUCUUGUAUUACAAAUAAUAAAGUUAUCAUUGAUUUCUUGAACAGAUAGUCGUUUGUCUUAUAAUUUUUAACGUGUUAUUUUGAGAUGAUGCACUAAUAAUUUACGUAAAAAAUUGUAUUAAAAAGAAUCAGACAUGCCAAUGAAACAAGAAACAGAGCCAUUAAUGAAAUAUUCAUCAAUUCAAAAGUGGAAUGACAAAGAAUUAUAUCAAGCUAUCAGCGCUAGCAAUGAGAAUAAUAAAAAGACGUUGAAAACAUCACUUCCGAUAAACAAUCCCACAGAUGAAUCAAUUUUAAAGACAAGUAACUUAUAUGAAAUUCAAAAUUCAGUGACAUACACAUGGAGCAAUAUAAAUGUAAAUUGCUUCGUUCAAGAAAGAAGAUUCUGGAAUAGAUUUACUAAUGAAAAUAAUCCAAAAAAUAUGAAACGCCAAAUUUUACAAAACGUUACAGGCGUAGCAUAUCCCGAAGAAAUAUUAGUUAUAAUGGGUUCUUCAGGAGCUGGAAAAACAACAUUAUUGAACGUUUUGACUUUUCAAUGCGGCUCAGAUAUGAUAGUUUCUGGAAAUAUAGCUAUAAAUGGAAAAACAGUGAAUUCGAAUGUUAUAACAUCAAAAAUGGCUUAUGUACAGCAAGAUGAUCUAUUUAUUGGCACAUUAUCAGUGAAAGAGCAUCUUUUAUUUCAAGCUUUAGUUCGUAUGGAUAAAAAUAUACCCCACCUUCAACGGAUAAGAAGAGUAAAUCAAGUUAUAUCAGAACUUGCCUUAACAAAAUGCCGGAAUACAAUAAUUGGUAUACCAGGACGAAUAAAGGGUAUAUCAGGAGGUGAAAUGAAAAGAUUAUCUUUUGCUUCUGAAGUUUUAACAGAUCCACCAUUGAUGAUUUGCGAUGAACCAACUUCAGGUCUUGAUUCUUACAUGGCACACCAAGUUAUUUCAGUACUGAAAAAUUUAGCAGCUCGUGGGAAAACUAUUAUCACAACUUUACAUCAACCAUCAUCAGAAUUGUUUAGUAUGUUUAAUAAAAUUCUACUCAUGGCUGAAGGACGUGUAGCCUUUACAGGUACUACCGAAGAAGCGUGUGAGUUUUUUAAAACAUUAGGAGUAUCAUGCCCAAGCAACUAUAAUCCAGCUGAUUAUUUUAUACAAUUGUUAGCUAUUGUACCAGGGCGAGAAAAUGCCUGCCGUCGUACGAUUGACUUAAUUUGCAAUAACUUUGAAAACAGUGAUGCAGGAGUAAAAAUAAGUGCAAAAAUUCAAAUGCUAUCGAACCAUCAUAAAAUACAUCAUGAAAAUAUAGAUACAUUUUUUGAUGUACAUAAAUACAAGGCUACUUGGUUUCAGCAAUUUCAAGCUGUGCUUUGGAGAUCAUGGUUGUCAGUAAUAAAAGAACCAAUUCUGAUAAAAGUUCGAUUACUUCAAACAAUUAUGGUAUCAAUAUUGAUAGGUAUCAUUUAUAUGAAUCAAAAACUUAAUGAGGAUGGAGUUAUGAACAUCAAUGGAGUUCUCUUUAUUUUCCUCACAAAUAUGACCUUUCAAAACGUAUUCGCUGUUAUCAACGUUUUCUGCUCAGAACUUCCAAUAUUUCUCAGAGAACAAAAAAAUGGAAUGUAUCGAACGGAAGUUUACUUUUUAUGUAAAACUAUUGCUGAAGCACCUAUUUUUAUUGCAGUGCCAGUAAUUUUUACAACUAUUUCAUAUCCGAUGAUAGGAUUAUAUCCUGAUAUCAAGCACUAUUUAGUUACGGUCGCGGUUGUAACUCUUAUAACUAAUGUGGCAACAUCAUUUGAAGAAACUCCUUCACAUUUGUACUACGAUUGUCAACUAAGGUUAUCUUAUUUCUUGUAUAAGCAAAAGUACUUCUAUGGCACUUUCAAUCGGGCCACCAGUAAUUAUUCCAUUUCUACUUUUUGGAGGAUUUUUCUUAAAUAUCGCUUCUGUCCCAGUAUAUUUCAAGUGGUUUUCCUAUUUGUCAUGGUUCAAAUAUGGUAAUGAAGCUCUGUUAAUUAAUCAGUGGAUCGAUGUUGAUAACAUUGCUUGUACGAAAAGUAAUACAACUUGUCCGAAAUCUGGACUGAUGGUUCUACAGACGUUAAAUUUCAAUAAGGAAUAUUUUUGGAUAGAUAUUUGGGCACUAGUUACCUUAAUCAUUUUAUUUCGCAUUGCAGCGUUAAUAGCACUUAUUGUAAAAACUUGGAGAAAAAACAUAUAAAAAUAAUUAUCUUGUGUAAAACAUUAAAUAAA